rnacentral:rRNA from 1 species
CGUGGUGGUCGUAGCACCAGGGCCACACCCGUUCCCAUCCCGAACACGGUCGUUAAGCCUGGCGCGCCGAUGAUACUGCCAAAAGCGGGAAAGUAGGUCACUGCCACGA